UACGUAGGGUCCGAGCGUUGUCCGGAAUUACUGGGCGUAAAGAGCUCGUAGGUGGUUUGUCGCGUUGUUCGUGAAAACUCACAGCUCAACUGUGGGCGUGCGGGCGAUACGGGCAGACUAGAGUACUGCAGGGGAGACUGGAAUUCCUGGUGUAGCGGUGAAAUGCGCAGAUAUCAGGAGGAACACCGGUGGCGAAGGCGGGUCUCUGGGUAGUAACUGACGCUGAGGAACGAAAGCGUGGGUAGCGAACAGG
rnacentral:rRNA from 1 species